rnacentral:snRNA from 1 species
GAAUGUGAGGGUGAUCUGGCUGUGACAUCUGUCACCCCAUUGAUCUCCAGGGUUGAUCUGGUUGGCGAGGGGGGUGUCCCCUUCUUCCCUCUCCGCUACAUGUGCGUCCCUCCCGAAGCUACGAGCUUGGCUGUAGAGGACGACCUUCUCCCAUAGAAAAGGACUGUUCUUCAGUCAAGGGUAUAUGAGUAGCUGAGCUCCCCUGCUAGAACUUCCAAACAAGUGAGGUGGUCUAUGGAGAAAUAAUGAAAGAAAUAGGGUCAUUUAGCAUCUAUCACUACCCAAAUGGCUUUUAACAAGUUCUUUAGCCUUUCUGU